rnacentral:ncRNA from 1 species
AUUAAGCUUUAUUCUAGCUUAAAUUAUUAAAUAUUAAAUUAUUUAUACAUGUAAUUUUAUAAAUUAAUUUUUUUGUUCUAAAAGAACAAAUUUAAAAUACGCAGUAUAUAAUAUUAACAUUUAUUAAAAUUAGAUUUAGUUAUUUUAGUAUGAAAGGACAAAUUUUGUGCCAGCAGUCGCGGUUAUACAAUUUUUUCAAUUUAAUAUGUAAGUUUCAGUUAAUUGAUUAUUUUUAAUAAUUUAUAUCAAUUUUGGUGAAAUAAUAUUUAUUAAUAUAAAUAAUUUAAAUGUGUCUGAGAAACUAUAAAUUAAACUAGGAUUAGAUACCCUAUUAUUAUAAGCGUAAAUUAAAUUAACUUGAUUAUUAAUAGAUAUAAUCUUAAAAAUUAAAGAAUUUGGCGGUAAUAUAUCUUUUCAGAGGAACCUGUUUUGUAAUUGAUAAUCCACAAUAGAUUCUACUUUAAUAAAGCUUGUAUAUCGCUGUCAAGAAUGUUCUUUUAGGAUAUUUUCUAUAUUUAUAUAAAAUAAAUGUCAGGUCAAGGUGCAGUUUAAUUUUAAAGAAAGAAUGGGUUACAAAUUAAAAUAUAAUUUAAGUUUUUCCAAUGUUGUGAAAAAUUAAUAAAUUGGAUUUGAUAAUAAAUUAAUUAAAUUCAAUUAAUUGAAAUAAGCUCUAUAUUAUGUACACAUCGCCCGUCACUCUCAUUUUAAGAUGAGAUAAGUCGUAACAAAGUAGUUGUACCGGAAGGUGUAUCUAGAAGGAA